rnacentral:rRNA from 1 species
AGCAGCCGCGGUAAUUCCAGCUCCAAUAGCGUAUAUUAAAGUUGUUGCAGUUAAAAAGCUCGUAGUUGAAUUUCGGAAUCUGUCCAUUGGUCGGGCUUCACUGCCCGUACUGGUGUGGUGGGUUCUUACCUUCUGAAUAACCAGCAUGCCAUUUAUUUGGUGCGUUGGGGAAGCAGGACUAUUACCUUGAAAAAAUUAGAGUGCUCAAAGCAGGCUAGUGCCUGAAUACAUUAGCAUGGAAUAAUAAAAUAGGACGGCAUGGUUCUAUUUUGUUGGUUUCUAGGAUCACCGUAAUGAUUAAUAGGGAUAGUUGGGGGCAUUAGUAUUCAAUUGUCAGAGGUGAAAUUCUUGGAUUUAUUGAAGACUAACUUCUGCGAAAGCAUUUGCCAAGGAUGUUUUCAUUAAUCAAGAACGAAAGUUAGGGGAUCGAAGACGAUCAGAUACCGUCGUAGUCUUAACCAUAAACUAUGCCGACUAGGGAUCGGACGAUGUUAAUUUUUAAUGACUCGUUCGGCGUCCG